CACAAUUUUUUUUUUUUUAAAAAAAUAAAAUUAAAAUAUGUAUCUAACCACGACUAACCCUAAAUACUUGUAUCAAAAUGAGCCGCCCCCUUCUGUCUUCUUCUCUUUCUCACUCCUUCAUAUCCCCUUUCUCUCUCCUCUCCCCCCUUCCUCUCUUUCUCUCUCCUCUUCCACCAUCACCGACAACACCGUAGUCUAGCUUCUCACGCCCACUGACGACACCGUAGUCUAGCCACCACCGAGCAACGAGCGUCGAGCGUCCACCACUGUGCCAUGAGAAGUCGAUUCGAAUUUAAUUGGUCAAGGUUUUUCAAUCUUUCUAAUUUUUGUUUAUAACUCAAUUUUCUGAUUAUAACUAAUUUGUUGGUUUGGUUAUUACUUAAAUCUGAUUUUACUUUUGUUAUAUUUUAGAUAUUUAUUAAGUUUUUGGGAUAGUUUGUGUUGAAUUUUUGGGGAUUUAGAGACGAUUUUAUAUGUUUUUUUUUUCUAUCUAAAGUUUUCGAUUAUAUUCUACUUCUAAUUUUGAUUUUCAUUAUAAAUUUUCGUUUUAAUCCUAAGAUAUUUUAGCUCUCUAAUUUGAGCAAUUUUUUAUUUUCAUCUUUAGAUUUGUUUUUAAUUUUCAAUUAUAUUAGAUCUAAAUUUUCUGAUUUUCAUUUAAUAAUUAUUAUAGAUCUAAAGUUUUUGUUUAGUGUGAUUUGUUCUGAUUUUGUUCGUUGAUGGUGUGUUUGUGGGUGUUUGGUGCGGUUGCUCUGGUUUUGUGCGCCGAUGGUGGAAGGUUGGAAGUGUUGCUGUAACUGCAAUGAUUUAUGAGUUGAAAUUUGCUUGACAGCGGCAGGAUUGACACCAUCGGCUUAAUUAUUUUGUACGAAGUAUUGUAGAACUUGUAAUGUAAAUUUCUUGCAAGGAACUUUGUUGUAAUUGAAAUAUUUGUAAUUUUUAAAAUUAAUUUAAUGUUAUUCUAAUUGUUAUUGUUAUUAU